rnacentral:rRNA from 1 species
GGGGAAUAUUGCACAAUGGGGGGAACCCUGAUGCAGCGACGCCGCGUGAAGGAAGAAGGUAUUCGUAUUGUAAACUUCUGUCGCAGAUGACGAAGAUAGUGACGGUAAUCUGCAAGAAAGCACCGGCUAACUACGUGCCAGCAGCCGCGGUAAAACGUAGGGUGCUAGCGUUGUCCGGAAUUACUGGGUGUAAAGGGAGCGCAGGUGGCAGUGCAAGUUGGAUGUAAAAUCUACGGGCUCAACCCGUAUAAGCAUUCAAAACUGUGCAGCUUGAGUGAAGUAGAGGUAGGUGGAAUUUCCGGUGUAGCGGUGGAAUGCGUAGAUAUCGGAAGGAACAUCAGUGGCGAAGGCGACCUACUGGGCUUUAACUGACGCUGAGGCUCGAAAGCAUGGGUAGCAAACAGGAUUAGAUACCCUGGUAGUCCAUGCUGUAAACGAUGAUUACUAGGUGUGGGGGCGAAAGCUUCCGUGCCGGAGUUAACACAAUAAGUAAUCCACCUGGGGAGUACGACCGCAAGGUUGAAACUCAAAGGAAUUGACGGGGGCCCGCACAAGCAGUGGAGUAUGUGGUUUAAUUCGAAGCAACGCGAAGAACCUUACCAGGUCUUGACAUCGUGCGCAUAGGCAAGAGAUUGCUGAAGUUAUUCUUUUAGAAUAACGCAUAGACAGGUGGUGCAUGGUUGUCGUCAGCUCGUGUCGUGAGAUGUUGGGUUAAGUCCCGCAACGAGCGCAACCCUUAUCAUUAGUUACUACGAAAGAGGACUCUAAUGAGACUGCCGUUGAGAAAACGGAGGAAGGUGGGGAUGACGUCAAAUCAUCAUGCCCCUUAUGACCUGGGCUACACACGUACUACAAUGGCUGUCAACAAAGUGAACCAAAUACGCGAGUAAGAGGGAAACACAAAAAACAGUCACAGUUCGGAUUGUAGGCUGCAACUCGCCUACAUGAAGCCGGAAUUGCUAGUAAUCGCGGAUCAGCAUGCCGCGGUGAAUACGUUCCCG